UGCUUUACACAUGCAAGUCGAGCGGCAGCGCGGGGCAACCUGGCGGCGAGCGGCGAACGGGUGAGUAACAUAUCGGAACGUAUCCUUAAGUGGGGGACAACCUAGCGAAAGUUAGGCUAAUACCGCAUACGAUCUACGGAUGAAAGCGGGGGAUCGCAAGACCUCGCGCGAUUGGAGCGGCCGAUAUCAGAUUAGGUAGUUGGUGAGGUAAAGGCUCACCAAGCCGACGAUCUGUAGCUGGUCUGAGAGGACGACCAGCCACACUGGAACUGAGACACGGUCCAGACUCCUACGGGAGGCAGCAGUGGGGAAUUUUGGACAAUGGACGCAAGUCUGAUCCAGCCAUUCCGCGUGCAGGACGAAGGCCUUCGGGUUGUAAACUGC
rnacentral:rRNA from 1 species